UACGUAGGGUGCAAGCGUCGUCCGGAAUUAUUGGGCGUAAAGAGCUCGUAGGCGGUUUGUCGCGUCUGCUGUGAAAUCCCGAGGCUCAACCUCGGGCCUGCAGUGGGUACGGGCAGACUAGAGUGCGGUAGGGGAGAUUGGAACUCCUGGUGUAGCGGUGGAAUGCGCAGAUAUCAGGAAGAACACCGAUGGCGAAGGCAGAUCUCUGGGCCGUAACUGACGCUGAGGAGCGAAAGCAUGGGGAGCGAACAGG
rnacentral:rRNA from 1 species